rnacentral:lncRNA from 1 species
ACAUGGGUGGGCCCAAUGCCUCGUACGGCAUAGCUGGGCGGUUGUUUAUUGCACCUCGCCCGAAUGAGUACUGCUGCAACUACUGUUGCUGCUGCUGCUUCUUCUACUUUGCCAGAUUGUUGCCUGCACCUGGCCCCCACCCGCAUCUGUACGCACUGGCUGAUAUCCUUCCUAACCGACCCCGCCUCGUUGGCGGCUUCAUAUACCUCCAAAACCUUAAAAA